AGCGAACGCUGGCGGCGUGCCUAACACAUGCAAGUCGAACGUGAAAGGGAGCAAUCCCAAGUAAAGUGGCGUACGGGUGAGUAACACGUAGGUAAUCUACCCCAGAAUCUGGAAUAACCGGCCGAAAGGCUGGCUAAUACUGGAUAGAGCGACGGAAUCCGUACUUGGGUUUUUCGGGAAAGGGAGCCUGUAAAAAGGCCUUCGUUCUGGGAUGAGCCUGCGUCCCAUCAGCUAGUUGGUGAGGUAAAAGCUUACCAAGGCAAUGACGGGUAGCUGGUCGGAGAGGACGAGCAGCAACACUGGAACUGAAACACGGGCCAGACUCCUACGGGAGGCAGCAGUGGGGAAUAUUGAGAAAUAGACGAAAGUCUGACGCAGCAACGCCGCGGGAGUGAAGAAGGCCGUCGGGUUGUAAAGCUCUGUCGAGUGGGACGAAAAUGCUUGGAGUUCACAGCUCCAGGAACUGACGGUACCACUAAAGGAAGCACCGGCUAACUACGUG
rnacentral:rRNA from 1 species